rnacentral:lncRNA from 1 species
AUGCUGCUACCGGGGUUUGUGUUCAACACCGCAGCGCUUUUCCUGUCUCUUUGGUCCGGAACAGACGUACUGGCCUUGAAUUCAACGCGAAUCGUCCGCACCGAGUCUGGAAUCGAGGUUUCCAGACCAAACACCCCAGUGGCAGAUCUACAAACGGCCACUUCUGUCCCUCAGACUAUACACACCGAUUUCUCAGACAGCUUUUCCGUGCCGCAGACGCACUUUCCCUUCCAUAUUCCAGCCACCAUUCCCAUCACAACCAAAACCCUCCCCACUACCGCCGAACCCACCCUUACAACCCCACUGGAAACCUCUCCUGUGGCAACUCAGACCACUCCCACAACCGCUAAGCUGCCUCCCAGCACUGCUAGCAUUACCAAACAAGCCACGGCCACUCCCGAAGAAACCAAGCCAACUGCACAAGCCACGCCCAUUCCUGCUGAAACCGUUCCAACUACACAAGACACACCCACUCCUACGGAAACCUCUCCAACAGCACAAGCCACUCCCAUUCCUGAUGUAUUGACCAAUCGGAAAACUGCAGCCCCUGAGCCAGAUACAACGAUCCAACCUGCGGAACGUUCGACAGAACACGACAUUUACACCAGUACAGAACUCAAGGCAGCAGGCACCACAUGGAAAGUUCUGAACUCUGACUGGUCCAUGACCACCAACCCAGCUCAUGGCCAGAAACCAGCUUGGGUGUGGAUCAUCAUAGCUGCAGUCUGCAGUGCAGCUACGUGCGUUUGUAUCGUGGCUGGGAUCCUUCGCUUUCGGAAAAAGAAGUACAACCCCGCUUCCAUGAAUGGCCGUGUCCAGAGGUCCAAGAAAAAGAAGGGUGACGAGGAUGCUUGGGCGGGGCCAGUAAACCUGGGUGGGGCAGAGAGGGAGGAGUGUGAGGGAGGAGAGGUGGCAGGAGGAGAUAAGAAAGAGAACGAUGGUGCAGAUGUGCCGCUCAGCACGUUCGCCAACACCGCUGGAGAGAAGGUGGGGCCAAAUGGGGCUUUGGGCGGAGAGGGUACGGAGCAGGCUCAGAAAUGGGAGGAGCAUUCUCGUCUACUUUACAUUGAUGAGGAUGGGGAGGAGGAGGACAAGAAGGAGAAGCAAGCAUCCAAAGGAGAGAAUGGACGUGAACCUACAGACAUCCGGGCUGAGCUGAAUGGAGCGGCAACAUUCUGCCUGACUUCAGCAGUCUAG